rnacentral:rRNA from 1 species
GGGGAAUAUUGGACAAUGGGCGCAAGCCUGAUCCAGCCAUGCCGCGUGAGUGAUGCAGGCCUUAGGGUUGUAAAGCUCUUUCGGCGGGGACGAUAAUGACGGUACCCGCAGAAGAAGCCCCGGCUAACUUCGUGCCAGCAGCCGCGGUAAUACGAAGGGGGCUAGCGUUGUUCGGAAUCACUGGGCGUAAAGGGCGCGUAGGCGGCCAUAUAAGUCGGGGGUGAAAGCCUGUGGCUCAACCACAGAAUUGCCUUCGAUACUGUAUGGCUCGAGACCGGAAGAGGUAAGUGGAACUGCGAGUGUAGAGGUGAAAUUCGUAGAUAUUCGCAAGAACACCAGUGGCGAAGGCGGCUUACUGGUCCGGUUCUGACGCUGAGGCGCGAAAGCGUGGGGAGCAAAC